GGCAAUGAAAUUGAGAAUAAUCACAUAAAUAGACAAAAUAACUUCUUUAGACAGAAUAACGAUUCCAGACAGGACAACUUUAGACAGAGCAAUAGUUCUAUGCAGAGCACCACUACCACCAGACAGAUAAGUAACGGUUUCAGAAGCAACCUUUAUGGGAGUAACUAUAGAGAGAACAGUUAUAAUAACAGUGUCAACUCUAGACAGAACAACAGUUUUAGGGGCAAUAAUGUCACAGAGAGAAUGCGCCAGAGCCGGGUUAACAAUAUUAGAAGAAGAUGGGAUCAGCAGAGGUACAAUGUUAGGAGAAACAGAUGUCAUCAUAUUAUUGUUCUGUCCAACGCUGUUGAUUCC
rnacentral:misc_RNA from 1 species